GGAGAGAUGGCCGAGCGGUCGAAGGCGCACGCCUGGAAAGUGUGUAUACGGCAACGUAUCAAGGGUUCGAAUCCCUUUCUCUCCGCCA
rnacentral:tRNA from 8 species